GACGAACGCUGGCGGCGUGCCUAAUACAUGCAAGUCGAACGAACUCUGGUAUUGAUUGGUGCUUGCAUCAUGAUUUACAUUUGAGUGAGUGGCGAACUGGUGAGUAACACGUGGGAAACCUGCCCAGAAGCGGGGGAUAACACCUGGAAACAGAUGCUAAUACCGCAUAACAACUUGGACCGCAUGGUCCGAGUUUGAAAGAUGGCUUCGGCUAUCACUUUUGGAUGGUCCCGCGGCGUAUUAGCUAGAUGGUGGGGUAACGGCUCACCAUGGCAAUGAUACGUAGCCGACCUGAGAGGGUAAUCGGCCACAUUGGGACUGAGACACGGCCCAAACUCCUACGGGAGGCAGCAGUAGGGAAUCUUCCACAAUGGACGAAAGUCUGAUGGAGCAACGCCGCGUGAGUGAAGAAGGGUUUCGGCUCGUAAAACUCUGUUGUUAAAGGAGAACAUAUCUGAGAGUAACUGUUCAGGUAUUGACGGUAUUUAACCAGAAAGCCACGGCUAACUACGUGCCAGCAGCCGCGGUAAUACGUAGGUGGCAAGCGUUGUCCGGAUUUAUUGGGCGUAAAGCGAGCGCAGGCGGUUUUUUAAGUCUGAUGUGAAAGCCUUCGGCUCAACCGAAGAAGUGCAUCGGAAACUGGGAAACUUGAGUGCAGAAGAGGACAGUGGAACUCCAUGUGUAGCGGUGAAAUGCGUAGAUAUAUGGAAGAACACCAGUGGCGAAGGCGGCUGUCUGGUCUGUAACUGACGCUGAGGCUCGAAAGUAUGGGUAGCAAACAGGAUUAGAUACCCUGGUAGUCCAUACCGUAAACGAUGAAUGCUAAGUGUUGGAGGGUUUCCGCCCUUCAGUGCUGCAGCUAACGCAUUAAGCAUUCCGCCUGGGGAGUACGGCCGCAAGGCUGAAACUCAAAGGAAUUGACGGGGGCCCGCACAAGCGGUGGAGCAUGUGGUUUAAUUCGAAGCUACGCGAAGAACCUUACCAGGUCUUGACAUACUAUGCAAAUCUAAGAGGUUAGACGUUCCCUUCGGGGACAUGGAUACAGGUGGUGCAUGGUUGUCGUCAGCUCGUGUCGUGAGAUGUUGGGUUAAGUCCCGCAACGAGCGCAACCCUUAUUAUCAGUUGCUAGCAUUAAGUUGGGCACUCUGGUGAGACUGCCGGUGACAAACCGGAGGAAGGUGGGGAUGACGUCAAAUCAUCAUGCCCCUUAUGACCUGGGCUACACACGUGCUACAAUGGAUGGUACAACGAGUUGCGAACUCGCGAGAGUAAGCUAAUCUCUUAAAGCCAUUCUCAGUUCGGAUUGUAGGCUGCAACUCGCCUACAUGAAGUCGGAAUCGCUAGUAAUCGCGGAUCAGCAUGCCGCGGUGAAUACGUUCCCGGGCCUUGUACACACCGCCCGUCACACCAUGAGAGUUUGUAACACCCAAAGUCGGUGGGGUAACCUUUUAGGAACCAGCCGCCUAAGGUGGGACAGAUGAUUAGGGUG
rnacentral:rRNA from 1 species